AUGUAUGAAGGUAAAAUUUAUAUCAACCGGACUUCCCAUCCUUGGAGUGAGAUGGGGAAAGCACAUCAUCACCAUCUGAAUAAGAGCUUUCUGAAUCACCGUCAUCAACGGAAUUGCCAUUCGAACCAUCAACAUUAAACCUCUUCCCUACAUGCUCAUUUGUGGAUUGCCCUGAAAGUGACACAAUGCCUAGAGAAGCAAUGCUGUUUGCAAUUGCAUCAAUGUCUCGAGAAUUACCGUACAGACCGCGGCUUCCAGUCAAAAAUAAACUUUGAUUUGCUUCAGAAUCUGAUAGAACAACAGGGAAUACGUUCAUCAAUUGAGAGUUACCCGGGCUUGAACCGCUGAUGAGCAGACGCAGUGUAUCUCUAGCAUCCUUUUCCACAUCAGUAGUAGGUAUCAUUGGACUCACGA
rnacentral:misc_RNA from 1 species